rnacentral:ncRNA from 1 species
UCUGUCCUUAGUACGAGAGGACCGGGAUGGACGAACCUCUGGUGUUCCGGUUGUCAUGCCAAUGGCAUUGCCGGGUAGCCAAGUUCGGACGGGAUAACCGCUGAAAGCAUCUAAGCGGGAAACCCACCUCAAGAUGAGAUCUCCCGGGAGCUAGACUCCCCUGAAGGGCCGUGGUAGACCACCACGUUGAUAGGCUCCAUGUGUAAGCGCCGUAAGGCGUUGAGCUAAGGAGUACUAAUUGCCCGUGCGGCUUGACCAU